CUUCAUCUGUGCUGUGCUGGCUAACAGAAGCUAGAGUUAUCUCAGAGGAGGGAAUCUCAACCAAGAGAAUGUCUUCAAAAGAUCAGGAUAUAGGCGAGCCUGUACGGCAUUUUCUUAACUAGUGAUUACAGUGGGAGGGCCCAGCCCAUUGUGGGUGGGGCCAUCUCUGGGCUGGUGGUGCUGGGAUGUAUAAGAAAGCAGGUCGAGCAAGCCAUGGGGAACAAGUCAGUAAGCAGUGAUCCUCCACAGACUGUGUCAGUUCCUGCUUCCAGGUUCCGGCUGUCGAGUUCUUGCCCUGACUUCCCUUCAUGAAGAACUGUGAAACUGAAGUGUAAGCAAAAUAAACUCUCUCUAACCCACGUUGCUUUUGGUCAUGGUGUUUCAUCACAACAAGACAAAGCCUAACUAAGACACUUGCAAAUUUAGAUUUCACAGAAUCCAGUUUUACUUUCCCACUGGCUUGUAACUUAAAACUUUAAAAUGUAUUUUUAAAAUAGUUCAAAGGGAAAAUGAAUUCACAGCUGUGUUGAGAACAAACAACAUUUUUAAUCCACCUGAGAAGAAAAUGGUCCCUAAUCCCAGAGUACCUGAAACUCCAACAAGAAAAGCCCUAACUGCAGAAAAAGCCUGUGCUCUGGGGGGGGACUCUGAAGUAACAACCAAUGAACACAUCAGGUCUAGGCACACAUCACAGGUUCAAAUCCCAAGCAGGAACAACUGCGUCUCUUCAUGGUCACAGAGUCUCGACUUAGCUGUGGCCUGGAUUUCCAGCUUUGGCUAUCGACUACAUGGGUAGGAAAGAGGUCUCCACCACCUGAAGAAAAACUCACCUGUUAUUGCCAGUAUUUUUGUCAGGCAUUGUGUCUCACACCUGAAAUCCUAGAACUCAGUCAGGGGGAUUGCUGUAAAUUGAGGCUGGCUGGACUUCAUAGUGAAUUACAGUUACCUCAGGCUAUGAGUGAAACUGUCUAAAGAAAACCCCCCAAAUCCAACACAAAACUCCCAAUCCAAAAAUGGGCAAUAUUUUCCUGCUUUAAACAGAGAUGAAUUAACUGGCCAGAAACAAGUUAAAAUGGAAAAGAGCUAAAAGCAAGCAUUUCUCCUGAGGGCUUGGUAAAUUUUACACACUGGUUGGCUUUCGUUUUAAUUCAGUAAUCAUAAUUUUUUUCUUUCUUUUUUUUUUUGAGACAGGGUCUCUAUGUAGCACUGGCUGUCCUGGAACAGACUAGCUUUGAGUCCACAAAGCUUCACCUGCCUUUGCAUCCUGAAUGCUGGGAUUAAGGAUCUGUGCCCCCUACCACUAUCAGUAAUCUUACUUUUAUUUGGUAAUUCUUGUGAAGCCUAUGGUUAGGCAGUUUUUAACAUUUUAAUUUUUCAGUUUUUUUUUUUUUCUCAAUAGCUUGGUAAUCUCUUCAUGAAAAAUUUAAUACAACCCAAAGACUAAAUGAAGAAAAAAUCCCCUAAUCAUAUUGUAUUCCCAGGCAGAUAAAAAGUUUUAUUUUUUGGGCUGGAGAGAUGGCUCAGAGGUUAAGAGCAUUGGCUGCUCUUUCAGAGGUCCUGAGUUCAAUUCCCAGCAACCGCAUGGUGGCUCGCAACCAUCCAUUAUGAGAUCUGGUGCCCUCUUCUGGUGUGCAGAUAUACAUGGAAGCAGAAUGUUGUAUACAUAAAAAAUAAACAAAAUCUUUAAAAAAAAGUUUUAUUUUUCAAUAGGGCUUACUUUUACCUUGGUAUUUAGAGAAUUUAAAUAUUACUCAACGCCUGAGUUUUAUUUGCACUGUUGUUAGCCAAACAUUUCCCCCAUCAUUAACCACAGGAGUAGGAAGUGAGUAUAAAUCCAGUAUUUAGCAUCUGUCUUAGCCUGAAGGUCAGUGAAAGCCAAGGUUCUCACGGACAAAGUGGUUUUUGGAAGGACCAAAGUGAAGAUGACACAGAAUCGGUGGUCCACCUCGAGAACCUUGAUGUUCCUGUUUUAAGAUGAAAAGUACAUUUAUUUCCAGAAUUAUGACUACUAGCACAAAAGGGUUUCUCUCUCUCUCUCUCUUUUUAAAUACGAAUGUUUAAAAGAAAUAAAAACCGCAUGGGGAGUCAGCAAUGGCAAAGGGCUAUCGAGCCCUGAGUUGGUUCCCCCCCCCCCAGCUCUGCAGAAACAGACCAGCAAACAAGAAACCUCAACAAAAAUAAACACAAACCUAAACAAUUGCAUGAAAAUAUGUGGAAUCUUGUUCUUGAAAAUACAAGUGACGGAGACUCAUGCUCAAUCUUGUAUACUAUGAAUUCCAAAAAAAUUUGGCUAUUUUGGGGGUGUUAUUCUUUAGCGAGGUUUUAAGUGCAAGUCCCAUUUCCAAAUAACACGUGAUCCUGUCCUCAUCUCUAACUUUAUACAUAAGUGGCAUAACUUAUCGGGUUUUAAAAUUCCAUCAAGGCACCAAGAGCGUUUUAUCUACGUCACAGGGGCCUGGGCUUGAGAUUAAGAAUGAGGUGUUAUGAUCACGAUGCAUUGUAAGACAUGGACGAAGCUGCCAAGGAAUAGAAAUAUUCUUAAAAAAAGGAAAACUAUAGAACUCCGUUUGCCUUUUCUCGGAGACCGACGGGGGCUUUGGGUCUGCAUGGACUUGGUGCUCAGGAGCUCUGCGUGCCCCCGGCUCCAGCACCGGCGCGCCCAGAGGAAGCCCAGAUGAAGAGCGCAGGUAAGCAAACACGCUCCUUUAAACUUGGUUUUGGAGACAGGGUCUCUUGCCGCCCGGGCUGAUGAUUUCCAACCGGACGCAGACGACCUUGGGCUUCUGAUCCUCCGGCCUCCACUUCUUCCGGAAUACGGGGAUUAAGGCCCGCGCUGCACACAGGGGUCGGGCCCGGGGCUGCGUGCCUGCCGGCUGGCACUGUACCAGGCGAGCCGCGCGGGAGCGCUGGGACAGACGUCUCUUUCAGAGCGCUUGCUCCCAGCAGAGCCUACGUACCGCCGCCGCCGCCGCCGCCGCCGGGGUUCAGCGGGAUCCUGGCGGCCUCCUCAGGCAGCCCCGGGGCAGCGCACGUCCGCCCGUCUCCGGAGGGCGGCGCCACGCCGCCGGGCUUGCGGCUCUCGGAGAGUCGUCUCCUCAGCCGGGCUCUGACGCGCGGCCGUCGAGUCACGGCCUUGUCCCGGGAGCGACGCCAUCUUGUCGCCCCCGUCCUCCUCAGCGGCUCGCGGUGCCAGGCUCCCGGCUUCUUCGCCCCGCGGCUCCCACCACGCGGUGGAGGAGGAGCGCGGGCCGCCGGCCACGCCUCCCGAGCUCGCAGCC
rnacentral:lncRNA from 1 species